UACGAAGGGGGCUAGCGUUGUUCGGAAUUACUGGGCGUAAAGGGCGCGUAGGCGGUCCUGAUCGUCGGAUGUGAAAGGCCUGGCUCAACCUGGGAAUGGCAUCCGAUACGGCGGGACUGGAGUGUGGGAGAGGUUGGUGGAAUUCCCAGUGUAGAGGUGAAAUUCGUAGAUAUUGGGAAGAACACCGGUGGCGAAGGCGGCAUCCUGGACCAACACUGACACUGAGGAGCGAAAGCCAGGGGAGCAAACGGG
rnacentral:rRNA from 1 species